rnacentral:rRNA from 1 species
GGUGAACGCUGGCGGCAUGCCUUACACAUGCAAGUCGAACGGCAGCGCGGGUGCUUGCACCUGGCGGCGAGUGGCGAACGGGUGAGUAAUAUAUCGGAACGUGCCCUAGAGUGGGGGAUAACGUAGCGAAAGUUACGCUAAUACCGCAUACGACCUACGGAUGAAAGGGGGGGAUCGCAAGACCUCAUGCUCCUGGAGCGGCCGAUAUCUGAUUAGCUAGUUGGUGGGGUAAAGGCCCACCAAGGCGACGAUCAGUAGCUGGUCUGAGAGGACGACCAGCCACACUGGGACUGAGACACGGCCCAGACUCCUACGGGAGGCAGCAGUGGGGAAUUUUGGACAAUGGGGGCAACCCUGAUCCAGCAAUGCCGCGUGAGUGAAGAAGGCCUUCGGGUUGUAAAGCUCUUUUGUCAGGGAAGAAACGGUGGGGGCUAAUACCUCCUGCUAAUGACGGUACCUGAAGAAUAAGCACCGGCUAACUACGUGCCAGCCGCCGCGGUAACAC